CCUACGGGAGGCAGCAGUGGGGAAUAUUGGACAAUGGGGGGAAACCCUGAUCCCAGCCAUGCCGCGUGCGUGAAGAAGGCCUUAUGGUUGUAAAGCACUUUAAGCAGAGGAGGAGGCUACUGAGACUAAUACUUGGAUAGUGGACGUUACUCGCAGAAUAAGCACCGGCUAACUCUGUGCCAGCAGCCGCGGUAAUACAGAGGGUGCGAGCGUUAAUCGGAUUUACUGGGCGUAAAGCGUGCGUAGGCGGCUUUUUAAGUCGGAUGUGAAAUCCCCGAGC
rnacentral:rRNA from 1 species